GAUGAACGCUGGCGGCGUGCCUAAUACAUGCAAGUCGAGCGAACGGACGAGAAGCUUGCUUCUCUGAUGUUAGCGGCGGACGGGUGAGUAACACGUGGAUAACCUACCUAUAAGACUGGGAUAACUUCGGGAAACCGGAGCUAAUACCGGAUAAUAUUUUGAACCGCAUGGUUCAAAAGUGAAAGACGGUCUUGCUGUCACUUAUAGAUGGAUCCGCGCUGCAUUAGCUAGUUGGUAAGGUAACGGCUUACCAAGGCAACGAUGCAUAGCCGACCUGAGAGGUGAACAGGCCAACCGGGACCGGGGACAGGGCCCAAACCCCAAGGGGGGGCAGAGUGGGGGAUUUUGCCGAAAGGGGGGAAGCCCUGACGGGGCAACGCGGGGGGAGUGAGGAGGGUUUUGGGAUGGAAAAACCUUUUUAUUGGGGAAGAAAAUAUGUGUAAGUAACUGUGCCAAUUUGGGCGGUACCAAAGAAGAAAGCCACGGUAAACUCCGG
rnacentral:rRNA from 1 species